rnacentral:rRNA from 1 species
AUUGAACGCUGGCGGCAGGCCUAACACAUGCAAGUCGAACGGUAGCACAGAGGAGCUUGCUCCUUGGGUGACGAGUGGCGGACGGGUGAGUAAUGUCUGGGAAACUGCCCGAUGGAGGGGGAUAACUACUGGAAACGGUAGCUAAUACCGCAUAACGUCGCAAGACCAAAGAGGGGGACCUUCGGGCCUCUUGCCAUCGGAUGUGCCCAGAUGGGAUUAGCUAGUAGGUGGGGUAACGGCUCACCUAGGCGACGAUCCCUAGCUGGUCUGAGAGGAUGACCCGCCACACUGGAACUGAGACACGGUCCAGACUCCUACGGGAGGCAGCAGUGGGGAAUAUUGCACAAUGGGCGCAAGCCUGAUGCAGCCAUGCCGCGUGUAUGAAGAAGGCCUUCGGGUUGUAAAGUACUUUCAGCGAGGAGGAAGGUGCUGAGGUUAAUAACCUCAGCAAUUGACGUUACUCGCAGAAGAAGCACCGGCUAACUCCGUGCCAGCCGCCGCCGUAA